CCUUAGAGUUUGAUCCUGGCUCAGGACGAACGCUGGCGGCGUGCUUAACACAUGCAAGUCGAACGGGGUGUUUAUUUCGGUAAACAUCAAGUGGCGAACGGGUGAGUAACGCGUAAGCAAUCUACCUUCAAGAUGGGGACAACACUUCGAAAGGGGUGCUAAUACCGAAUGAAUGUAAGAGUAUCGCAUGAGACACUUACUAAAGGAGGCCUCUGAAAAUGCUUCCGCUUGAAGAUGAGCUUGCGUCUGAUUAGCUAGUUGGUGAGGGUAAAGGCCCACCAAGGCGACGAUCAGUAGCCGGUCUGAGAGGAUGAACGGCCACAUUGGGACUGAGACACGGCCCAGACUCCUACGGGAGGCAGCAGUGGGGAAUCUUCCGCAAUGGGCGAAAGCCUGACGGAGCAACGCCGCGUGAACGAUGAAGGUCUUAGGAUCGUAAAGUUCUGUUGUUAGGGACGAAGGGCAAGGGUUAUAAUACAGCCUUUGUUUGACGGUACCUAACGAGGAAGCCACGGCUAACUACGUGCCAGCAGCCGCGGUAAUACGUAGGCGGCAAGCGUUGUCCGGAAUUAUUGGGCGUAAAGGGAGCGCAGGCGGGAAACUAAGCGGAUCUUAAAAGUGCGGGGCUCAACCCCGUGAUGGGGUCCGAACUGGUUUUCUUGAGUGCAGGAGAGGAAAGCGGAAUUCCCAGUGUAGCGGUGAAAUGCGUAGAUAUUGGGAAGAACACCAGUGGCGAAGGCGGCUUUCUGGACUGUAACUGACGCUGAGGCUCGAAAGCUAGGGUAGCGAACGGGAUUAGAUACCCCGGUAGUCCUAGCCGUAAACGAUGGAUACUAGGUGUGGGAGGUAUCGACCCCUUCCGUGCCGGAGUUAACGCAAUAAGUAUCCCGCCUGGGGAGUACGGCCGCAAGGUUGAAAC
rnacentral:rRNA from 1 species